AAACCAGCACCUCAAGUGGUCAGGAGGAUUAUUGGGCCUAAAGCAUCCGUAGCCUGUUCUAUAAGUUUCCGGUUAAAUCCACUAGCUCAACUAGUGGGCUGCCGAAAAUACUGUAGAACUAGGGAGUGGGAGAGGUAGACGGUAUUCGGUAGGAAGGGGUAAAAUCCUUUGAUCUAUUGAGGACCACCUGUGGCGAAGGCGGUCUACCAGAACACGUUCGACGGUGAGGGAUGAAAGCUGGGGGAGUAAACCGGAUUAGAAACCCCGGUAGUCC
rnacentral:rRNA from 1 species